rnacentral:rRNA from 1 species
CCUACGGGGGCAGCAGUGAGGAAUUUUGGUCAAUGGGCGGGAGCCUGAACCAGCCAAGCCGCGUGAGGGAAGAAGGUACAGCGUAUCGUAAACCUCUUUUGUCAGGGAACAAAGGCGGGGACUAGUCCCCGGAUGAGGGUACCUGAAGAAAAAGCAUCGGCUAACUCCGUGCCAGCAGCCGCGGUAAUACGGAGGAUGCGAGCGUUAUCCGGAUUUAUUGGGGUUAAGGGGUGCGCAGGCGGCCUGUUAAGUCAGCGGUAAAAGCCCGGGGCUCAACCCCGGCGAGCCGUUGAAACUGGCGGGCUGGAGUUGGAGAGAAGUACGCGGAAUGCGCGGUGUAGCGGUGAAAUGCUUAGAUAUCGCGCAGAACCCCGAUUGCGAAGGCAGCGUACCGGCUCCACACUGACGCUGAGGCACGAAAGCGUGGGUAUCGAACAGGAUUAGAUACCCCAGUAGUC